rnacentral:rRNA from 1 species
GGGGUUGGGGGCUGCCUUCACAUGCAAGUCGAACGGUAACAGGGAGCUUGCUCCGCUGACGAGUGGCGAACGGGUGAGUAAUACAUCGGAACGUGCCCAGUAAUGGGGGAUAGCUCGGCGAAAGCCGGAUUAAUACCGCAUACGCCCUGAGGGGGAAAGUGGGGGACCGCAAGGCCUCACGUUAUUGGAGCGGCCGAUGGCUGAUUAGCUAGUUGGUAGGGUAAAGGCCUACCAAGGCGACGAUCAGUAGCUGGUCUGAGAGGACGAUCAGCCACACUGGGACUGAGACACGGCCCAGACUCCUACGGGAGGCAGCAGUGGGGAAUUUUGGACAAUGGGGGAAACCCUGAUCCAGCAAUGCCGCGUGUGCGAAGAAGGCCUUCGGGUUGUAAAGCACUUUUGUCAGGGAAGAAAUCCUUUGGGCUAAUACCCUAGGGGGAUGACGGUACCUGAAGAAUAAGCACCGGCUAACUACGUGCCAGCAGCCGCGGUAAUACGUAGGGUGCAAGCGUUAAUCGGAAUUACUGGGCGUAAAGCGUGCGCAGGCGGUUGUGUAAGACAGGUGUGAAAUCCCCGGGCUUAACCUGGGAAUUGCAUUUGUGACUGCACG